GCAUUCAGUUGCCAUCGGGUGAAGCCGGGCACUCUGGAAGGACUGCCAUCGACAAGAUGGAGGAAGUGGGGACGGACGUCAAGUCAUCAUGGCCCUUAUGUCCAGGGCGACACACGUGCUACAAUGGCCGGCACAACGGGAAGCGAGUUCGCGAGGACGAGCGGAUCCCUUAAAGCCGGUCGCAGUUCGGAUUGAAGUCUGCAACUCGACUUCAUGAAGCUGGAAUCGCUAGUAAUCGCAGAUCAGCCAAGCUGCGGUGAAUACGUUCCCGGGCCUU
rnacentral:rRNA from 1 species